GAGAUUGAAGUGCUUUGGUGUGUUUCUUGAAGAUUUUGAGAAGAAAGAAGAGUAUAUCAAGAAGAGAAGAAGGAGGCCAAGCAUCCUAGUGUUAUCUUAGUGAUUUUCUUGAGGUAUAACUUGGUUUCCCUUUGUUUUCAUGCUUAUAGUCCCUUAUAGCUCCAUGAAAGUCCUUCUUGAGCCUUUCCCCAAGCUUAAUUGUGUAUUAGGGUUUGUAAUAAGUUGUUUAGCCUCUAGAUCUAGGCAUGAUUGAGCUCCAGGAGCUUGGAUCUACUGCCUUUAUGGAGCCAUAUUGCAUGAAAGCCCUAGAUCUACCCUUUUAGUGCAUUUUGAGCCCUAAAACCUUCUUUGGUGAUUAUUUACACGUAAAGUUGGAAACUUUACGUGUUAUUCAUGCCCUAGAAACCCAGAUCUAUGAAUGGCAUGAGCUGGAUUCAAGCAAAAUCGAGUAUAUAGUAUUUGCAUGUGACAGACUCGGCGAGUCGUUCAUCGGACUCGGCGAGUCGAGUCGCGAGUCACCGAGUUUUCCCCCUUUUCGCGUUUGCGGGGUGGAGUAGUGAGUCAUGGGGUGUGACUCAGUGGGUCGGAAGCCAGACUCACUCAUGAAGGAACUCGACGAGUCGAUGCCCUGACUCGGCGAGUUCAAGGCAAUCUUCUUGCCUCAAGAACAGACUCGGCGAGUUGCUCAUACAGCUCGGCGAGUCUCAGCAUAGAGUGUUCUUCGGAUGAAGAUGAACUCGGCGAGUUGUUCAUACAACUCGGCGAGUAGGAUGAAGGACUAUUGGCCUUUGGUUUAGAAGGAAAACUCGUCGAGUCAAUGCCUAACUCGACGAGUAGAGACGGGUUUAUGGUCAGACAAAGGGAUAGGGACUCGGCGAGUUGGCAAGCCAACUCGGCGAGUCGGGUCAACUGGCAGUUGACUUUGACUUUGACUUUGACUCUUGGUUUGGUUAGGGGUAAAUGGUCAUUUUACCCUGAGGACGGUUAGCAGUAUUUGACUAAGUGUUUUGUGGGAAUUAUUAGCCGGAGGAUUUCCGGAGCAGCAGCAGUAGAAGACAGUCAGUUCCCACACCGAUCAGCAGCUACUUUGAGGUGAGUUACCUUCCAUUAGCGGUGGGUCUACGACCACAAUGUCGGCCCACCAGUAGGAUUUGUAUGUUAGAUGAUUGUUUUUGUGAUAUCAUAUAGGUUUGCUACUACCGGAUAUGUUUGUAUGCUGGUAUGAUAUGUAUAUGUGAUAAUUGUAGAGUUCGGUUGUUAGGGCCGAAGGGUAGGUCAGACACCCUAGAUAUGCAUGACAGUAUGCGAUGUUAUGUUUAUAUGCUGGCAUGAUGUGUUAUAUGUGAUAGUGGUAGUAAGAGGGGAAUAGUCCCCAAGUUCGGUCGUUAGGACCGAUGGGUAGUCAGUACCCCAGAAUGGCCUUACAUGGGUAGUCAGCACCCCAUAACGGCUUGACACGGGUAGGUCGACACCCCAGAAUGGCCGUACCGGGUAGGUCGGGCACCCCAGAAUUUCCCGGCAGUGUGUAUGAUAUAUAAUUGUAUGGUAUGUGGUAAGAUGGGGGAACUCACUAAGCUUCAUGCUUACAGUUUUCAGUUUUGGUUUCAGGUACCUUUUCUUCGAAGGGGAAGGAGCCGGCACGGUAGCGGUACAUCACACACACGCUUUGUAUUCCGCACUAUGGAAUCCUCCUGGGGUUUUGUACUCUGAUAGUAGUAUGUUUCACGAAAUGGUUUCCAGACAAACAACAUCUUUUAUGAAAUUUCAUGAUCCAUGAAUGUUUAUUUAUAAUGUUUUGCAAAUGGUAUGUUUUAAAAAUGAAAUUUUUGGCUGGUAUUUUUGGGACGUUACAAGUUGGUAUCAGAGCCCUGGUUUGAGGGAUUCAGACACACCUUCGGGGGUGUCUGAACUCAAAUCGAGGGAUUAAAAGAUUUUAAAGAAUAAAAUAUUUUCUAAAAAGAUAAGUAAAGAGUUUUAAGAAGGAGCGAAGUGUGUGAUAUGCGCGACCGGCCAAGCUUAAGUAAGUAUUCCCCAAAGUACCCAUACAAGUUUAUGUUAUGUUUAUUAGUUUCAGUAGAACAGCAUGCUAGACUAGGACUAAGGAUCUAGGAGUGAUGCCUUAUGUGUCUGCUUUAUGUGCUUCAGUGUAUGAAAACUGCAUGCUAAAAUUGAGUAGACAACAGUAGGAUAGCCUGUUUAGGUUAUACAUGAUAGUAUGAGUUUAGCAUUGUAUGCUAGUCGGUUUCUCUUUAUGAGGACGGAUUUGCUUGAGAUUGUUUCCUGUGGUCUGAAUGCUGCUUGCUUUAUGCUUCGUGGGACUCUGAGUGAUGGGAUUUAGACAUUAGGUGAAUAUGUCACGUCACAUGUGAUCAGGGUUGGAUAAUCUUAGAGUGCUAGAUUUGGCUCUAUUGCGUAGCUCUUGUCUGAGUCUAACCGUUGUAGAGCCGAGUCUGUUACUCAAAUGAUUAUCUGAGCCUCACCACAUGUGAUGGUAUUCAGGUAAUGGCUAACUGGCAUUACAAGGAGGCCUUCAGCAGCUGAGGACCGGGUAGAGUGGAGUUAUAGAUUUCUUAGGGCAAGCCUAGGAUGAGUAUAGCAGUGAUCACCGAUAGUGAAAGGGACCUGGUGGAGUCAAGGCAGUCCUUGGAGAAGGUACGGAUAGAUGUGGAAGGUAGUAUAGGCCCGUACUACUGAAAUCAUAGGAUCCGUACCCGAACCGAGGAGGCCCAAGAUAAGACCAAGUAACUUGUAGUAGGUGUGAUACCUCCAGAGGUGUCAGUAUCGCUAACGGUUAUUAUUUAUGUAUUUCAGAAUGGUGGUACUACGUUCGAGGCUAGCAGUUGGCAGUACAGGAGAGGGAUCGGGUUCGGGAUCAGGUUCCGAGCCAGUAAAUGAGGGGUUACGCGAGUUCAUCGCGUCAUAGAUGACCAGAGGCAUCCUUGAGUCGACCCCCAUUAUCUUCGGGUCGAUCAAGGAAGGGAUAGUGGAGUUGAUGGAAGAUCACCUCAUGGCAUUCAGGAGCGACAUGGCAUCUGGCCAGUCAGGAUCUCGCANUUCAGGAGCGACAUGGCAUCUAGCCAGUUGGGAUCUCGCACACUGUCCUUCAAGGACUUCAGGGGCAGUGGUGCGCCGGAUUUUCUCAGGGCAAAGGACCCCAUAGCUGCCAGGGGAUGGAUUGCAGAUGUUGAGUCUGCACAAAUGAUUAGCUUCUGCCCUAAGGGGUCGAAGGUGAGGUUUGCAGAAGGGUGUUUACGAGAUCAAGCUAGGGAUUGGUGGGAGUCCGUGGGUGACUCGUUGGGAGCCUCGGNNNNNNNNNNNNNNNNNNNNNNNNNNNNNNNNNNNNNNNNNNNNNNNNNNNNNNNNNNNNNNNNNNNNNNNNNNNNNNNNNNNNNNNNNNNNNNNNNNNNNNNNNNNNNNNNNNNNNNNNNNNNNNNNNNNNNNNNNNNNNNNNNNNNNNNNNNNNNNNNNNNNNNNNNNNNNNNNNNNNNNNNNNNNNNNNNNNNNNNNNNNNNNNNNNNNNNNNNNNNNNNNNNNNNNNNNNNNNNNNNNNNNNNNNNNNNNNNNNNNNNNNNNNNNNNNNNNNNNNNNNNNNNNNNNNNNNNNNNNNNNNNNNNNNNNNNNNNNNNNNNNNNNAGGACCGAGCCGCUGCAAGAAAUGCGGCAGGCCUCAUGAGGGGGCAUGUAGGUUGGGAUCGUCGGGCUGCUAUAAGUGCGACAAGACGGGGCAUUUCAGCAGGGAUUGUACCACCCAUACACCUGUGAUUCAGACAUCAUAGUUGCUGUGUUUUCACUACAACCAGAGGGGCCACAAGAAGGCCAGUUGCCCCCAGUUGACAGGAUCAGCGCCAGUUAAGGCGCCGACUCCAGCUACCCUGUGGAUCACAGAUGGCCGGCAGGGCAAGGCAGAGGCUCUAGUGGUGAGGAGCCGGGCAUUUCAGCUGACGACAGAGGAGGCACGCGCCGCACCCGAUGUGGUGACAGGUAUGAUUCUUUCCCUCUACUUUAUUUUUAUGAUGUUAUGAUAUUGAUAUGUGCUCUGUGUAUAUGCAUUAGGAUCGUUCCAUGUGAACGGUAUUCCUGUUCAGGUGUUGUUUGACUCGGGUGCCACCCGAUCAUUUGUUUCCCUUGCGCUUAGCAAGAGGUUUGUUGAGACUUCGGGCAUGUUGGAUUGCCCUUUAGAGGUAGAGAUUUCCGAUGAUCGAUCGGUGCGAUCAUCAGCAGUAUUCAGGGAUUGUGUGCUAAGAUUAUUUGAGGAGCGCUAUUUGGUGGAUUUGGAUCUCAUCCCGUUGCGGGGGAACAAGGUGAUUAUAGGCAUGGAUUGGUUGAGCCCUAAUGGGGCGGUGAUAGAUUGCGCGCAGCAGCUAGUGCGGAUCAGGACCCCGAGUGGGGGAGAGUUGGUGAUCCACGGCGAGAGGCCACAGCGUGGACCUGCAGUAUGUUCAGCAGCGAGAGCUAGGCACUACCUUCAGCAGGUAUGCGCGGGAUAUGUCGCGUAUGUUAUGGAUAGCUGGGAGACGGGUAAGGCUACGGUGAGCGCGGUUCCAGUGGUGCGAGACUACGCUGAUGUGUUCCCGGAGGAGCUUCCUGGAAUACCUCCAAAACGUCAAGUAGAGUUCAGGAUCGACCUAGUUCCUGGUGCGGCUCCGAUAGCCAAGGCACCCUAUCGGUUGGCUCCUCCCGAGAUGCAAGAGUUGUCUACGCAGCUGCAGGAGCUGCUAGACAAGGGAUUUAUUCGACCGAGCAGUUCACCCUGGGGAGCCCCGAUCCUGUUUUUAAGAAGAAGGACAGGUCGCAUCGGAUGUGCAUAGAUUACCGAGAGCUGAAUAAGGUAACGGUGAAGAACCGUUACCCACUCCCGAGGAUUGGUGACCUCUUUGAUCAGUUACAGGGAGCAUCUUGCUUCUCCAAGAUCGAUUUGCAUUCAGGUUAUCAUCAAAUGAGGGUCAGAGAGGAGGAUGUACAGAAGACCGCGUUCCGGACGCGUUAUGACCAUUAUGAGUUCGUGGUGAUGCCGUUUGGGCUCACCAAUGCUCCUGUCGCGUUCAUGGACCUCAUGAACCGCGUGUGUAGACCGAUGCUGGAUCAAUCGGUGAUAGUUUUCAUUGAUGACAUCUUGGUUUAUUCCAAGACGCAGGAGGAGCAUGAGGAGCAUCUUAGAGAGGUUUUGGAGAUCUUGAGGAGGGAGAGCUUGUACGCCAAGUUCUCCAAAUGUGAGUUUUGGUUGCACGAGGUGCAGUAUAUUGGGCACCUCGUCAACCAGAAUGGGAUUUCAGUAGACCCGGCCAAGGUGGAGGCCGUGCUGAGAUGGGAGGUUCCUAACUCUCCAUCCGAUAUUCGGAGUUUCCUAGGAUUAGCAGGUUACUAUCGGAGAUUCAUUCAGGAUUUCUCCAAUAUAGUUGUACCCCUAACACGGUUGAGUAGGAAAGCCGUGGUCUUUCGAUGGGGGCCUGAGCAGCAGGCAGCGUUCGAGAUUCUGAGGCAGAGAUUGUUCGAGGCGCCAAUCUUAGCCCUACCCGAGGGCGUCGAGGAUUUUGUGGUGUACUGUGAUGCGUUGAUCUCAGGCUUAGGCGCAGUAUUGAUGCAGAGGGGGCAUGUCAUUGCUUAUGCCUCGAGGCAGCUGAAGCCUCACGAGGCAAACUACCCGACACAUGAUUUAGAGUUGGGGGCGGUGGUUUUCGCCCUCAAGAUUUGGCGGCAUUACCUCUACGGGGUUCGAUGUAACAUUUUCACGGACCACAAGAGUUUGAGGUACCUCAUGGAUCAGUCGAAUCUGAACAUGAGGCAGCGUCGGUGGUUGGACGUGGUGAAGGAUUAUGAUUGCGAGAUCCUUUAUCACCCGAGGAAGGCCAAUGUGGUGGCCGAUGCGCUUAGCGGCAAGGCGGCACCGAUCAGGGAUAUUUGCAUGAGGAUGACUAUGGUGACUCCCCNUAUGAAGGAGGAACGUCGGAAGAGUGAGCGAAUAGUGGGUCAAGUCCCCUCCUUCGAUUAUGAUAGCCGAGGGUUAUUGACACUACACUGCAGGGUGUGGGUGCCGUAUCACAGAGGUGUGCGUCAUAUCUUGAUGGAGGAGGCGCACACAUCCCAAUUCUCUAUUCACCUAGGGGCGACGAAGAUGUAUCCGGAUCUUCGCCUAGACUACUGGUGGCCGUGCAUGAAGCGGGAUGUAGCGUGGUACGUCGAGCGGUGUUUGACCUGCAGGAAGGUCAAGGUCAAGGCCCAUUUUAUUCCGAUUCAGGAGAGUAUCUUGGUUGAAAAGUUGGCCGAUAUCUAUAUCAGCGAGAUAGUGGCGCGGCACGGGGUGCCAGUGUCAGUGAUAUCCGAUCGAGAUGUGCGGUUCACUUCUAGGUUUUGGAAGAAGUUUCAUGAUGAGUUGGGCACUCGUCUGCAUUUUAGCACCGCCUUUCACCCGCAGACGGAUGGUCAGAGUGAGCAGACCAUCCAAAAUUUGGAGGAUAUGUUGCGGGCAUGCGUGCUAGACUUUGGUGGUAGUUGGGAUACCUAUCUUCCCUUGGCUGAGUUCUCGUACAACAACAACUACCACGCGAGUAUUGAUCAUCCUCCAUUCGAGAUGUUGUACGGUCGGAGGUGCAGGACCUCGAUAUGUUGGAGUGAAGUUGGCCAGAGGGUCCUGGGGAGCAUCGAUGUAGUGCUCAAGACGACCGAGAGGAUCCAGCAAGUUCGAAGCAGGCUUCAGAUUGCGCAGAGUCGGCAGAAAAGUUACGUCGACAAGCGUCGUUCAGACCUGGAGUUUCAGGUCGGGGAUAUGGUUCUCCUGAAGGUGUCGCCAUGGAAAGGUGUCAUUCGAUUCAGGAAGUAGGGCAAGUUGGGCCCGAGAUACAUUGGUCCAUUCAGGGUUGUAGCCCGGGUGGGAAAGGUAGCAUAUAGGCUGGAUCUGCCAGCCGAGCUCAGUCAGAUCCAUAGCACUUUUUAUGUCUCCCAGCUGCGGAAGUGCCUAGUGGAUGAUUCAGCGGUGGUGCCGCUAGAGGAUAUACAGGUUGAUGACAACCUGAAUUACAUUGAGCGCCCAAUUGCAAUCCUCGACCGGAAGUCGAAGGAUCUGAGGAACAAGAGGGUGGAAUUAGUGAAGGUGCAAUGGUAGCACCGAAAGGGUUCGGAAUGGACUUGGGAGCCGGUGGAAGAAAUGAUGGAGCAUUACCCCGAGCUGUUUCAGGAUCGAGCAGCAGACUUUGAGGACGAAGUCUAAAAUAAGUGGGGGAGAUUUGUAGCACCUGGUUCCUGGUACGUAAAAUUUAUCUAAGUAUUUUACGUUUUUAGCCUUGGACUCGGCGAGUUGUAGGCCCGACUCGCCGAGUAGAGACGGGUUUGGGAGCACGUUUAAGUUGGCGACUCGGCGAGUCCACAUUCUGGACUCGGCGAGUCCCCGCUGUCUGAUGAAACCCUAAAUUCCAAGGGUUUGCACCCUAUUUAAACCAACCUUAUGCGCCCCAACCUCGCCCCCUUCACCCUCAGAGCUCCCAACAUCGUUCAAACCCUUAUUCCUUGUGAGAUUGAAGUGCUUUGGUGUGUUUCUUGAAGAUUUUGAGAAGAAAGAAGAGUAGAUCAAGAAGAGAAGAAGGAGGCCAGGCAUCCUUGUGUUAUCUCAGUGAUUUCCUUGAGGUAUAACUCGGUUUCCCUCUGUUUUCAUGCUUAUAGUCCCUUAUAGCUCCAUGAAAGUCCUUCUUGAGCCUUUCCCCAAGCUUGAUUGUGUAUUAGGGUUUGUAAUAAGUUGUUUAGCCUCUAGAUCUAGGCAUGAUUGAGCUCCAGGAGCUUGGAUCUACUGCCUUUAUGGAGCCAUAUUGCAUGAAAGCCCUAGAUCUACCCUUUUAGUGCAUUUUGAGCCCUAAAACCUUCUUUGGUGAUUAUUUACAUGUAAAGUUGGAAACUUUACGUGUUAUUCAUGCCCUAGAAACCCAGAUCUAUGAAUGGCAUGAGCUGGAUUCAAGCAAAAUC
rnacentral:lncRNA from 1 species